rnacentral:rRNA from 1 species
UACGGAGGGUGCGAGCGUUGUCCGGAAUCAUUGGGCGUAAAGGGCGCGUAGGUGGCCCGGUCAGUCUUUGGUGAAAGCGCGGGGCUCAACCCUGCGUCGGCCAGGGAUACUGCCGCGGCUCGAGCACUGUAGAGGCAGGCGGAAUUCCGGGUGUAGCGGUGGAAUGCGUAGAGAUCGGGAGGAACACCAGAGGCGAAGGCGGCGAACUGGACAGUAACUGACACUCAACUGCGAAAGCGUGGGGAGCAAACAGGG